ensembl:lncRNA
GGGCGAAUACUUUUGCAAGCCACUGUAAGUCCUGUCCUCAUUUGUUCAGUGUCAGGUCAUCUGUUGUCUUUGGUGCCACGUUUCCAUGUUCCAGGAAAGUGAAGCUUCUGUAGGCCACAACCCGUUCUCCUCAACUCAGAAAGAUGGUCCUCGUGUUGUAGUGGUCAAAGUCCGCCAGCGCCAAUACAAAGCAUCUUUCAGCUGGCUGCUGAUUAAACCAAAAUACCACCAGUUCUUGAUGUCCACUGGGAUUUUCCAGCUGUAUGAAGUAUUCCCAUUGGUGAUCCAACAGAAAAUUAUUUUAUCAACCAGGUAAUUUAAAUGAAUCUUUCUUCUAAUCAUGGGAGGAUAUUCUUUAUAGAAACUGUAAUUGGACAUUUGUUUAUAUAGUACAUUUCAUUACAUGUAAACUCAAUGGGAAUUGCAUAAGAAAUCAGCUUGCCUUGAUUUUAUCAUACUCAUGUAAAGAAAGUGAAUAGGCAUUUUUUCCAAAACUGCUUUCAUUUCAUCUGCACAUGUGUACAUGUCUGUAUGUGAACAAAGAGAAUUAAAG